rnacentral:pre_miRNA from 1 species
AAAGUACUCCCUCCGUCCCAAAAUUCUUGUCUUAGAUUUGUCUAGAUACGGAUAUAUCAAGUCACAUUUUAGUAUUAGAUACAUCCAUAUCUAGACAAAUCUAAGACAAGAAUUUUGGGACAGAGUGAGUAGUUG